GGCCACAUAUUUAUUAAGGGAUUUUAUUUACUUAUUUUUCUUUCACAAAAGCUAUAGAUCUGACUCUUAUACUAGUAUAUCUAAAAAAAGAAAGCAAUCAAUGCCUCAAGCAUUCUCAGGAAUUCGUUGACAAGAAAGGGUAGGCAAAGUAGCAAGGUGAUGUCCGUCGAAAUUGAGGAUGUUCACGAUGCUGAGGAGUUGAAAGCUGUUGAAGAGUUUCGUCAAGUGCUUAUAUCGGACAAACUUCUCCCUGAAAAACAUGACGACUAUCAUAUGAUGCUUAGGUCACUUUUUCUUAUGUGUUUAGUCUAUCAUAUGAUUCACAAUUUUGCAUGCUUGGUUGGUUCUGGAGCUAAUUUUCCCAAUCUUCGCUACUAAAAAAUUCCACAUGUUUUCAUAAGUGCACUUCAAAACGACACAUUAUUUGAAAGUGCCUUUGUUUUAGGACAGCAUCCCACCCCACUCGACACUCUACACAAUUACCACUGCAUUGCAUUCUCUACAACCACUCAAAGUUCCUGGUUUCAGGCUGAAACGUUAUAAAGGGUUCAAGGAGGGGAAUAGACAUUGAACGUGUGAAUAUAAUAUAAACUAUGAUAUGCCUGACGGUGCAGACACAUACGUGCACAGGGUUGGCCGGGCUGGAAGAUUUGGCACCAAAGGUCUUGCAAUUACAUUUGUUUCAUGUUCAACUGAUGUGAAUGUUCUCAACAAUGUAUGACAAUUGACUCUUUUUUGUUACCAAUUUACAUUGUAUAGUUUUAGUAGGAUGUCAUAUGAGUAAUGUGGUGUAUUGAUAGUGAUGCUGUGAUUUAUGGUUGUUCUUUAUCAAUAUUGUUUUGGAGUUUCUGUCUACAGUUUGUUUUAUUGUUAAA